GAUUUACUCCCUCCGUUCCAAAAUAGAUGACCCAACUUUGCACUAACUUUGUUCCAAAAUAGAUGACCCAACUUUGCACUAACUUUGCACAAAGUUAGUGCAAAGUUGGGUCAUCUAUUUUGGAACGGAGGGAGUACAAU
rnacentral:pre_miRNA from 1 species